GUCAGAUGAUUUGAAUUGAUAAUGCUGAUCCUCUGUGAGGUACCACAGUUAAUAGCAUGUUAGAGUUCUGAUGGCA
ensembl:snoRNA SNORD28 Small nucleolar RNA SNORD28